rnacentral:rRNA from 1 species
CCUACGGGUGACAGCAGUGAGGAAUAUUGGUCAAUGGGCGCGAGCCUGAACCAGCCAAGCCGCGUGAGGGAUGAAGGUUCUAUGGAUCGUAAACCUCUUUUAUAAGGGGAUAAAGUGUGGGACGUGUCCUAUUUUGUAUGUACCUUAUGAAUAAGGAUCGGCUAACUCCGUGCCAGCAGCCGCGGUAAUACGGAGGAUCCGAGCGUUAUUCGGAUUUAUUGGGUUUAAAGGGUGCGUAGGCGGCCUUUUAAGUCAGCGGUGAAAGUCUGUGGCUCAACCAUAGAAUUGCCGUUGAAACUGGGGGGCUUGAGUGUGUUUGAGGCAGGCGGAAUGCGUGGUGUAGCGGUGAAAUGCUUAGAGAUCACGCAGAACCCCGAUUGCGAAGGCAGCCUACCAAGCCAUGACUGACGCUGAUGCACGAAAGCGUGGGGAUCAAACAGGAUUAGAUACCCCAGUAGUC